AGUUUACCAUUUCAUCGUCAUCACUCAUCAAAGUUUGAGAGAUGCAGCCCGAAGUCGACCAAGGGCAAUCGGUACAGCUCCGACUGUAACAUCUCUCUCUUUUCUAUGUGAAUGAAAGAAGAAUUCGAAGAUUGAAAAUGUUCAGCAGGAGAAGGUUUCUAUCGGCGCCGAUGGUGUUGGGAGCAGUCGUAAUUGGAGUUGUCUCUGGUAAGGCCAUAUUUGGACCACCACUUGAUGAGUACUGGACAAAGAAGCUACAGGAAGAGGCAGCAACCAAAGAAACAGACUCAGGUUCAGGUUAGCAUCAUUUCAGAUCGUCCUCAUAUUUUAUGAUCAUACAGAAAGAGAAGCAACAGGAAGAUCCCAUCAUAUUUCUGUAUGUAGUAACAUAUGUUUUAUUUACUUCAUUUUGAUUAUAUCUGUUGCACUUAAAUUAUAAGAGGAAGAUUUACACCUUUUUGUCCAUUCGGCUCACUUCAAAUAUUUCAAAUAUUUAGACUGGUUUGUUUGCUUAAA